GUUUGAUCCUGGCUCAGAUUGAACGCUGGCGGCAUGCCUUACACAUGCAAGUCGAACGGCAGCACGGGUGCUUGCACCUGGUGGCGAGUGGCGAACGGGUGAGUAAUACAUCGGAACAUGUCCUGUAGUGGGGGAUAGCCCGGCGAAAGCCGGAUUAAUACCGCAUACGAUCUACGGAUGAAAGCGGGGGACCUUCGGGCCUCGCGCUAUAGGGUUGGCCGAUGGCUGAUUAGCUAGUUGGUGGGGUAAAGGCCUACCAAGGCGACGAUCAGUAGCUGGUCUGAGAGGACGACCAGCCACACUGGGACUGAGACACGGCCCAUACUCCUACGGGAGGCAGCAGUGGGGAAUUUUGGACAAUGGGCGAAAGCCUGAUCCAGCAAUGCCGCGUGUGUGAAGAAUGCCUUCCGGUUGUU
rnacentral:rRNA from 1 species